AGAGAGAGACAUGCGCGCAUAUCAAUAAGCGGAGGAAAAGAAACUAACUAGGAUUCCCUUAGUAACGGCGAGUGAAGCGGGAAGAGCUCAAAUUUGAAAUCUUCAAGGUUUUACCUUGACGAAUUGUAGUUUAUAGAAGUGUUUUCUGUAGUGGAGUUUGGUAAAAGUUCUUUGGAAUAGGACAUCAUAGAGGGUGAGAAUCCCGUAUUUGAUCCAUUACUUCCCUAGCUGUGUGAUACACUUUCAAAGAGUCGGAUUGUUUGGGAAUGCAGUCCAAAAUGGGUGGUAAAUUUCAUCUAAAGCUAAAUAUUGGCGAGAGACCGAUAGCGAACAAGUACCGUGAGGGAAAGAUGAAAAGAACUUUGAAAAGAGAGUUAAACAGUACGUGAAAUUGUCAAAAGGGAAGCGUUUGACACCAGUGUUGUUUUUCCGAAAAUCAAUUACGAAUGUUUUAUUUUUGAGGAGUUAUGACUUCAUCGGCUUGCUCCUUUCUUUAUGAAACUUUCUUAAUGCACUUUUCGGUUAACAAGUCAACAUCAAUUUCUUUUGUUGUAAAAGGGUAUGAGGAAGGUGGCUUUCUUUCGGAGAAAGUGUUUAUAGCCUUGUGCCUCUAGCAAUCGGAGAGAUUGAGGUCUGCAGCGUAGAUCCUUCGGGGUUAGAUACAGUUUGUGCUAAGUUAUAGCUUUCAUAGACAACUUGUCGACUAUGUUUAGUCUUGUAGCUUACUCGCUGAUGCUAUUUUACCUACGCUUAGGAUGUUGAUAGUCACAGCGUGUAC
rnacentral:rRNA from 1 species